AGGCAGCAGGCGGCAGCUUCGUUCUCCGUGCGCCCUGCUCUGCCUUCCCCGCAGCCUCCUCCAGCGUCGCUCCGCCGGCCGGGCCCCCGCUGCCUUCUCCCGCCUGUGCCGAGCCCCUCCCGGGACGCACCGGCCCCCGGCGCGCUCCCACUUGGACUAAGCUGCUGCUGCUGCUUCAGGGACUGAGCGCCCCAGGGCCGCCCGCCUCCUCCUCGCCCCAUGGCUCCCCUGCUCCUGGCCGGCUUCCUCGCCCUGCUCUGCGCACAGCUGGCCCAACCGGCUGGGGUGUUUGAGCUCCAGGUGCACUCGUUCCGCAGCAGCGCCCACAGCCUGUGUCCCGGCGCCAGCCCCUGCCGCCUCUUCUUCCGCGUCUGCCUCAAGCACGCCCAGGCUGUCGUGUCUCCCGAGCCCCCCUGCACCUUCGGGGCCGCCCUGAGCGACAUGGUCCCCGCCGACCGCAAUGCUGUGGCCACCAGCGCACCCAUCCACGUGCCCUUCCACUUCAAGUGGCCGGGCACCUUCUCCCUCAUCAUUGAGACGUGGAGAGCCGAGGCCGGCGAGCCGUCCACAGAGGAUGCCCAGAACCUGAUCAGCCGCCUGGCCACGCGGCGCCGGCUGGCGGUGGGCGAGGACUGGUCCCAGGACGUGCAGCUGGGCGAGCAGAGCGAGCUGCGCUAUUCCUACCACGUGCUGUGUGACGAGCACUACUACGGCGAGGGCUGCUCCGACUACUGCCGCCCCCGCGACGACCCCUUCGGGCACUACGCCUGCGACGAGCUGGGCGCCCGCGUCUGCCUGCCCGGCUGGAGGGGGGAGUACUGCUCCGAGGCCAUCUGCCUGCCGGGCUGCAGCGAGGGGCACGGCUACUGCGAGCGGCCCGGAGAAUGCAAGUGCCGGAUCGGCUGGCAGGGGCGCCUGUGCGACGAGUGCGUCCGCUACCCGGGCUGCCUGCACGGCACCUGCAGCCAGCCCUGGCAGUGCAACUGCCGGGAGGGCUGGGGCGGCCUCUUCUGCAACCAGGACCUCAACUACUGCACCAACCACCGGCCCUGCCAGAACGGCGCCACCUGCACCAACACGGGCCAGGGCAGCUACACCUGCAGCUGCCGGGCCGGCUUCACGGGCACCGGCUGCGAGACGGAGACCAACGAGUGCGACAGCAACCCCUGCAAGAGCGGCGGCAGCUGUGAUGAUCUGGAGAACGACUACAAGUGCACCUGCCCCCAGGGGUUCUACGGGAAGAACUGCGAGAUCAGCGCCAUGACCUGCGCUGACGGGCCCUGCUUCAACGGAGGCACCUGCGCCGAGAAGCCCACGGGCGGCUACACCUGCCACUGCCCCUUGGGCUACCACGGCUCCAACUGUGAGAAGAAGAUCGACCGGUGCACCAGUAACCCGUGUCUGAACAGUGGCCUCUGCCUGGACCUGGGCCGCCGGGUGCUCUGCAAGUGCCGGCCGGGCUUCGCCGGCACCCGCUGCGAGCGCAACAUUGACGACUGCGCCUGCAACCCCUGCGUCAACGGCGGCACCUGCCUGGACGGGCCCAACAGCUACACCUGCUCCUGCACCCUGGGCUACGGCGGCAAGGACUGCAGCGUGCGGGUGGACGCCUGCGGCUCCAGCCCCUGCCUCAACAGCGGCACCUGCUACACCCACUUCUCCGGCCACGUCUGCGAGUGCUCGGCCGGCUACAUGGGCUCCAGCUGCGAGUUCAAGGUGCAGAGCCCCAGCCCGGCCAGCAGCCGGCAGCUGGCGGUCGACGACCCCUUCCCGAUGGCCCUGGCCGUCUCCUUCGCCCUGGGGCUGGUGACUCUGGCCCUGGUGGCGUGCGCCGCGCUGGCGGUGCUGCGGCAGGUGAGGCAGGGCCGCAAGGUGGGGAAGGGCACCGUGCAGAAUGACCUGGACACCAUCAACAACCUGAAGGAGAGGGAAGGUUUCCUCAUUGCACCCGGGCGGUUCAAGGUGCCCAACAAAGAGCCCAAGUUUGGCAGCGACGGCCUCCGGGACAAGUUCAAUUGCAAGCGGAAGCUGCUGGAUCUCAGCGGGGACGCCGCCUGCAAGAAGAAGCCGGAGAAUAAGAAAUCGGAGCCGAUCUUCUCCCGUGCCCCUGCUGGGUACCCCAAAGAAGGCCCCUAUCGCCCUAUUUAUAUUAUCCCGGACCAGACGGAGCCCUGCAUCUUUGCCACCGAGGUUUAAAAGUGGCCCCCCCAACCUUGGACCUGUGGCUCCGUCCCCCCCGCCCCGCUAAAGAAUGUUUACAGAGACGCCUCCUUGGACGCGUGGAUCAGCGGCGGACGACACUGCUUCCCUGUCGAGCUGAAGGAAGGAAGCCCCUCCCCUUGCCACUUGGCCAAUCAGAGCGGUGGAUGGGGAUAAGCCCCUCCCCCCGUGCAAGGGGCGGAGCCACGUGCUGAGACCACAUGGCGAAAAGCUCUCGACGCCCUUUAUGUGCCAGAGAUGGGUUGGAAGGGAGGCGGUUAGACGGGACGCUCCACUAAUGGAUUCUUUUGCUUUCAGGAACCAAUGGCGCAAGGGGAUGGGAACGACUCUUUAAAGCGUUACAAAGCUGGGGGCGGGGGGGAGAAAAAUCUUUAAUGGUUUUUUAAUUAUUAUUAUUAUUUGAAAACUGCGUUUGUUUUAAUUUAAAACAAAAGAAGUGCCGUGUACAAAAAGCUUUUUGGAGAUACUCUAUAUACAUAUUUAAAUUGUAUAUAUUGUAUAUUUAUAAGAAGUGUCCUGUACAUAUAUCCCUGUCUGUUUCCCGGAUUUUUUUUUUCCUUUUACAUUUUUGUA